UACGUAGGGACCAAGCGUUGUUCGGAUUUACUGGGCGUAAAGGGCGCGUAGGCGGCGCGGUAAGUCACUUGUGAAAUCUCUGAGCUUAACUCAGAACGGCCAAGUGAUACUGCAGUGCUAGAGUGUGGAAGGGGCAAUCGGAAUUCUUGGUGUAGCGGUGAAAUGCGUAGAUAUCAAGAGGAACACCUGAGGUGAAGACGGGUUGCUGGGCCAACACUGACGCUGAGGUGCGAAAGCCAGGGGAGCAAACGGG
rnacentral:rRNA from 1 species